AUCCAGCUGACGAGUCCCGAAUGGGACGAAAUGCACGUUGACCUGGAU
rfam:Trichobilharzia regenti genome assembly, scaffold: TRE_scaffold0017139